rnacentral:siRNA from 1 species
UCAUUAGUCCCGAGAUAUACA